UGGGGAAUAUUGCACAAUGGGCGCAAGCCUGAUGCAGCCAUGCCGCGUGUGUGAAGAAGGCCUUCGGGUUGUAAAGCACUUUCAGCGGGGAGGAAGGCGUUAAGGUUAAUAACCUUGGCGAUUGACGUUACCCGCAGAAGAAGCACCGGCUAACUCCGUGCCAGCAGCCGCGGUAAUACGGAGGGUGCAAGCGUUAAUCGGAAUUACUGGGCGUAAAGCGCACGCAGGCGGUCUGUCAAGUCGGAUGUGAAAUCCCCGGGCUCAACCUGUGAACUGCAUUCGAAACUGGCAGGCUAGAGUCUUGUAGAGGGGGGUAGGAUUCCAGGUGUAGCGGUGAAAUGCGUAGAGAUCUUGGGGAAUACCGGUGGCGGAGGCGGCCCCCUGGACAAAGACUGACGCUCAGGUGCGAAAGCGUGGGGAGCAAACAGG
rnacentral:rRNA from 1 species